rnacentral:snRNA from 1 species
GGAAAGUGUCAACUGAAUCACCAGUUGAUUCAGCUGAUCUGGCUGGCUAGGUGGAAGUCCCCUUCCUCCCUCACCACUCCAUGUGCAUCCCUCCCGAGGCUGCACACUUGGUCAAACAGGACAACCAUCCUCAACAGAGGAGUACCAGUCUUUGGUCAAGCGUAUAUGGGUAGCUGUCCUCCCCUGCUAAAACCUCCAAACAAGCUCUCAAGAAUUAAUAAGAUCUAUUAUUAAGUAGUACAAUAAGAUGACUAAAGU